AGCGAACGUUAGCGGCAGGCUUAACACAUGCAAGUCGAGCGAGAAAGGGGCUUCGGCCCUGAGUAAAGCGGCGGACGGGUGCGUAACACGUGGAUAAUCUGCCCUUCAGUGGGGAAUAACGUUCCGAAAGGAACGCUAAUGCCGCAUGUCACAGCAAUGUCUCUGGACAAAGUUGGAAAAGGGGACGCCCGCAAGGGGUUCUCGCUGGAGGAUGAGUCCGCGGCCCAUCAGCUUGUUGGCGGGGUAAUGGCCCACCAAGGCGAAGACGGGUAGCUGGUCUGAGAGGAUGACCAGCCACACUGGGACUGAGACACGGCCCAGACUCCUACGGGAGGCAGCAGUGGGGAAUAUUGGACAAUGGGCGAAAGCCUGACGCAGCGACGCAGCGUGAGGGACGACGGCCUCGG
rnacentral:rRNA from 1 species